rnacentral:rRNA from 1 species
GACGAACGCUGGCGGCGUGCUUAACACAUGCAAGUCGAACGGAAAGGCCCUGCCUUUGUGGGGUGCUCGAGUGGCGAACGGGUGAGUAACACGUGAGUAACCUGCCCUUGACUUUGGGAUAACUUCAGGAAACUGGGGCUAAUACCGGAUAGGAGCUCCUGCUGCAUGGUGGGGGUUGGAAAGUUUCGGCGGUUGGGGAUGGACUCGCGGCUUAUCAGCUUGUUGGGGGGGUAGUGGCUUACCAAGGCUUUGACGGGUAGCCGGCCUGAGAGGGUGACCGGCCACAUUGGGACUGAGAUACGGCCCAGACUCCUACGGGAGGCAGCAGUGGGGAAUAUUGCACAAUGGGCGGAAGCCUGAUGCAGCAACGCCGCGUGCGGGAUGACGGCCUUCGGGUUGUAAACCGCUUUCGCCUGUGACGAAGCGUGAGUGACGGUAAUGGGUAAAGAAGCACCGGCUAACUACGUG